CCGCGGAGCAUAUAUUGACCCAGUUGAGCGGAGACCUCGUCUUGUGUUAACAUUUUUCUAAAGACAGUAGUGUUAUAGAACCGAUUUAUACAAAAAUAAGAAGUGUUUGUAUAUUUUAUGUUCUGAGUUAUUUCCCUACUUGUUAGAAAAUUUUAGUUUUGACGAAAAUGCUGUAGGUUGUCUGUAAAGAGACUAUGAGCGUAGGUUGAAUCGAAGAACUAAAGAAAGACAAAAAAUUUAUGUAUAUAUAAUAAACAGAGUUAUAUAAAAAAAAACGCUGCACUGAAAGUUUUGGAGUUUGAAAACUGAACUUUUGAUUUCUUUAAUGGUGUGUGC